rnacentral:rRNA from 1 species
GUGUCAGCCGCCGCGGUAAUACGGAGGGGGCAAGCGUUGUUCGGAAUUAUUGGGCGUAAAGAGUAUGUAGGCGGCUAUUUAAGUCAGACGUGUAAGCCCACGGCUCAACCGUGGAAUUGCGUUUGAAACUAUUUAGCUUGAGUUCAGGAGAGGAAGGCGGAAUUCCCAGUGUAGCGGUGAAAUGCAUUGAUAUUGGGAAGAACACCGGUGGCGAAGGCGGCCUUCUGGUCUGAUACUGACGCUGAGAUACGAAAGCCAGGGGAGCGAACGGGAUUAGAUACCCCGGUAGUCCUGGCCGUAAACGAUGGGCACUAGGUGCGGGAGGUAUCGAUCCCUUCCGUGUCGCAGCUAACGCAUUAAGUGCCCCGCCUGGGGAGUACGGUCGCAAGGCUGAA